GUGCUCAUUUGGGCAGCAUAUAUACUAAAAUUGGAAUGAUACAGAGAAGAAUAACAUGGUCCCAGCAGAAGUAUGAUAUGCAAAUUCAUGAAGUAUUCCAUAUUUUC
ensembl:snRNA U6 U6 spliceosomal RNA